rnacentral:rRNA from 1 species
UUGAACGCUGGCGGCAGGCCUCACACAUGCAAGUCGAACGGUAACAGGAAGAAGCUUGCUUCUUUGCUGACGAGUGGCGGACGGGUGAGUAAUGUCUGGGAAACUGCCUGAUGGAGGGGGAUAACUACUGGAAACGGUAGCUAAUACCGCAUAACGUCGCAAGACCAAAGAGGGGGACCUUCGGGCCUCUUGCCAUCGGAUGUGCCCAGAUGGGAUUAGCUAGUAGGUGGGGUAACGGCUCACCUAGGCGACGAUCCCUAGCUGGUCUGAGAGGAUGACCAGCCACACUGGAACUGAGACACGGUCCAGACUCCUACGGGAGGCAGCAGUGGGGAAUAUUGCACAAUGGGCGCAAGCCUGAUGCAGCCAUGCCGCGUGUAUGAAGAAGGCCUUCGGGUUGUAAAGUACUUUCAGCGGGGAGGAAGGGAGUAAAGUUAAUACCUUUGCUCAUUGACGUUACCCGCAGAAGAAGCACCGGCUAACUCCGUG